rnacentral:misc_RNA from 1 species
ACACUAACAAACGCCCGGGUAUUACGAGCCUCAGCUUAAAACCCAAAGGACUUGACGGUGUCCCAUCCAACUAGAGGAGCCUGUUCUAUAAUCGAUAACCCCCGAUACACCUAACCCCUCCUUGCCAAUCAGCCUGUAUACCUCCGUCGCAAACUUACCAUAUGAAUGCCAAUAGUAGGUUAAAUGGUUAUAUCACCAACACGUCAGGUCAAGGUGCAGCUCAUGAUAGGGAAAGCAAUGGGCUACAAUUUCUAAAAUAGAACACACGGAAUGCUGCAUGAAACACAGCCGCGAAGGCGGAUUUAGUAGUAAAAAGAAAAUAAAGUGUCCUUUUUAAUAAGGCCCUGGGACGUGUACACACCGCCCGUCACCCUCUUCAACAGCACACAAUAUGUUCCUAACAACUCUUGCACCCUAGAAGAGGCAAGUCGUAACAUGGUAAGUGUACCGGAAGGUGCACUUGGAUUUACAAAGUAUAGUUUAACAAAACCUCCCGCUUACACCGAGAAUAUAUCUGUGGGAAUCAGAUUACUUUGAGCCUAAAAUUAAGCCUAACCCACCCCCAUGAAAACCACUUCCAACUAAACAACAAUAAAACAUUUUAUCAGUUUAGUAAAGGCGAUUAAAAAACUUCCUAGCGCUUUACUUCUAGUACCGCAAGGGAAAAAUGAAAUAGUUUUGAAACAGCCAUUAAGCAACCUACAGCAGAGACUACCCCUCGUACCUUUUGCAUCAUGGUUUAGCUAGUCUUUUUCAAGCAAAGCGAAACAUCAGUUUGACCCCCCGAAACUAAGCGAGCUACUUCAAAACAGCUCAAUGGAGCCAACCCGUCUCUGUCGCAAAAGAGUGGGACGAUUUUUAAGUAGAGGUGAAAAGCCUACCGAGCUUAGAGAUAGCUGGUUAUUCAAGAAAAGAAUUUUAGUUCUACCUUAAGUUUCUGUAUUAACUCUAUAAACCACUCAAACUUAAGAGCUAUUCAAAUGAGGCACAGCUUAUUUGAAAAAGGAUACAACCUAUAAAAAAGGGUAAAACACCCCCCCCCAAAAAAUAAGUGGGCCUAAAAGCAGCCACCUUUAAGAAAGCGUUAAAGCUUCUUUUUCCAAAAAUCUAAUACCAAAACACACCUUUAACCCUUUAUUCCUACUGAAUGAUUCUAUACUCACUAUAGAAGCCCCAAUGCUAAAACUAGUAACAAGAAAUUGACUUUCUCCAAAAUACAAGCAUAAACCAAAAUGGACUAACCAUUGGUUAUUAACGUCAAUUAAUCAAUAUAGCAACUAUAUCAAGAAAACACUAUUAGUUUUUACGUUAACCUUACACAAGUGUAUUUCCGGAAAGAUUUAAAGAAGGGGAAGGAACUCGGCAAAUAAUAACCUCGCCUGUUUACCAAAAACAUCGCCUCUUGAUAAAAUAUAAGAGGUCCAGCCUGCCCAGUGAUAUAAUUAAACGGCCGCGGUACCCUGACCGUGCAAAGGUAGCAUAAUCACUUGUUCUCUAAAUAGGGACUCGUAUCAACGGCAUCACGAGGGUUAUACUGUCUCCCCCCUCUAAUCAGUGAAACUGACCUCCCCGUGAAGAGGCGGGGAUAUUUAUACAAGACGAGAAGACCCCAUGGAGCUUUAAACCCAAUAACAACCUCCACCAAAGUACCCUAAAAAUGAAGAGGCACUGUUUAUUGGUUUUAGGUUGGGGUGACCACGGAGAAAAACUAAACCUCCAUGACGAAUGGACCUUAAGCCUAAUCUAAGAGCCACUACUCCAAGAAUCAUUAAUUUGACAUAAUUUGAUCCGGCAACCGAUCAACGAACCAAGUUACCCUGGGGAUAACAGCGCAAUCCAUUUCAAGAGCCCCUAUCGACAAAUGGGUUUACGACCUCGAUGUUGGAUCAGGGUAUCCCAGUGGUGCAGCCGCUACUAAAGGUUUG